CCUAGAGGAGGCGGCACCCAGUCACCAUGGGGCUGACAGACCCCGGGGUGGCCCCGGGACGCCCCUUGGGGUCCACCCUCUGGGGCCUUCCUUCCCCUUGGUUGGGGAGAAAGUGGACCUGUUUCCAAGCAGGAGAACCUGCACAGGUGAUGUGUUACCACGGGAUGCCAGGUGGCAGAGAUCUCCCGGGGGGUCAGGUGGGCUCCACCCCCCCCCAAUCGGAGGCCUCCAGCAAAGGCCAGCUGAUGUCCUGCGGCCCAGGACAUGAAUCCUGCAGCGACCUGAGGGAGCUGGAGACCCCGGGGUGCUCCCCCAGUCUAGCCUCCAGGAGACACAGGAGACACGGGGUCAAUCCCUGGGUCAGGAAGAUCCCCGGAGGAGGGCAUGGCACCCCACUCCAGUAUUCUUUCCUGGAGGACCCCAUGGACAGAGGAGCCUGGAGGGCUGCAGUCCAUGGGGUGGCACAGAGUCAGACAGGCCUGGACGACGGAGCAGGCACUCAUGCAGACGGGCUUCGGAGCCUGGCGCUGCCCUUGCCGGCCGGGGGCCCGUUCACGUUCCUUUGAACAUAAAGUCCUGUUCAAAACAGUGCUUUGAAGGACAGACUGUCGCGGACACCUGGAGUGACAGGAUGGAAGAUGGGAGAGGUGGAUCGGGGCAGGAUGCUCCUGCGACGGUUAGAGCUGCUCCCGGUUCAGAAGAAACUCCACCAGGUCCUUCGCUCCGUGGACCAUGAAUCCACAGCUGGGAGCCUGUAGGGAGAUUUGGCCUCUCCAGUCCAGUAAAAAGCCCAUCGGGUCCACUGUUUUAGCCCCAAACAAUAACGACCUCACCAUGC
ensembl:lncRNA